rnacentral:rRNA from 1 species
ACUCCUACGGGAGGCAGCAGUCGGGGAAUAUUGCACAAUGGGCGCAAGCCUGAUGCAGCCAUGCCGCGUGUGUGAAGAAGGCCUUCGGGUUGUAAAGCACUUUCAGUCGUGAGGAAGGUAGUGUAGUUAAUAGCUCCGAUUAUUUGACGUUAGCGACCUGAGAAGAAGCACCGGCUAACUCCGUGCCAGCAGCCGCGGUAAUACGGAGGGUGCGAGCGUUAAUCGGAAUUACUGGGCGUAAAGCGCAUGCAGGUGGUUUGUUAAGUCAGAUGUGAAAGCCCGGGGCUCAACCUCGGAAUUGCAUUUGAAAC